UACGUAGGGACCAAGCGUUGUUCGGAUUUACUGGGCGUAAAGGGCGCGUAGGCGGCGCGGUAAGUCACUUGUGAAAUCUCUGAGCUUAACUCAGAACGGUCAAGUGAUACUGCUGUGCUAGAGUGCGGAAGGGGCAAUCGGAAUUCUCGGUGUAGCGGUGAAAUGCGUAGAUAUCGAGAGGAACACCUGAGGUGAAGGCGGGUUGCUGGGCCGACACUGACGCUGAUGCGCGAAAGCCAGGGGAGCAAACGGG
rnacentral:rRNA from 1 species